rnacentral:rRNA from 1 species
UGUAGCUUAGCAUUGAAUCUCGGUAUUGUCUGUACAGGAUAGGUGGGAGACUUGGAAGCUUGGGCGUCAGCCUGAGUGGAGUCAUCCUUGGGAUACCACCCUGACAGUACUGGGGUUCUAACCGGCGGCCAUGGAUCUGGUCACGGGACAUUGUUAGGUGGGCAGUUUGACUGGGGCGGUCGCCUCCUAAAAAGUAACGGAGGCGCCCAAAAGUUCCCUCAGCGCGGUCGGAAAUCGCGCGAAGAGUGCAAAGGCAGAAGG